AUUGAACGCUGGCGGCAGGCCUAACACAUGCAAGUCGAGCGGAGCGGCGGACGGGUGCGUGAUGCCUAGGCAUCUGCCUGGUCGUGGUGGAUGACGUCCAGAAACGGACGCUAAUACCGCAUACUCUUGCAUGCGCCUGGGUCGGAUUGGCUAGUUGGUGGGGUAAAGGCCUACCAAGGCGACGAUCCGUAACUGGUCUGAGAGGAUGAUCAGUCACACUGGAACUGAGACACGGUCCAGACUCCUACGGGAGGCAGCAGUGGGGAAUAUUGGACAAUGGGCGAAAGCCUGAUCCAGCCAUGCCGCGUGUGUGAAGAAGGUCUUCGGAUUGUAAAGCACUUUAAGUUGGGAGGCGUUACCAACAGAAUAAGCACCGGCUAACUCCGUGCCAGCAGCCGCGGUAAUAC
rnacentral:rRNA from 1 species